rnacentral:rRNA from 1 species
AGUUAUUGGGUAUCACAACCUAAUAGCGAAAUUAACAUAACUUUUAUGGGAUUAGUUUUUAGAUUAUUUAUAGUCUAUUAAUUCAAUCCCGGGGCGUUCUAUAUAGUUAUGUAUAAUAAUAUUUAUAUUAUUUAUACCUCUAACUAGAGCGUACCUUGAGCAUAUAUGCUGUGACCCGAAAGAUGGUGAACUAUACUUGAUCAGGUUGAAGUCAGGGGAAACCCUGAUGGAAGACCGAAACAGUUCUGACGUGCAAAUCGAUUGUCAGAAUUGAGUAUAGGGGCGAAAGACCAAUCGAACCAUCUAGUAGCUGGUUCCCUCCGAAGUUUCCCUCAGGAUAGCUGGUGCAUUUAAAUAUUAUGUAAAAUAAUCUUAUCUGGUAAAGCGAAUGAUUAGAGGCCUUAGGGUCGAAACGACCUUAACCUAUUCUCAAACUUUAAAUGGGUAAGAACCUCACCUUUCUUGGUAUGAAGGUUGUGGUUGUGAUAUAAUGUGCCCAGUGGGCCACUUUUGGUAAGCAGAACUGGCGCUGUGGGAUGAACCAAACGUAAUGUUACGGUGCCCAAAUUAACAACUCAUGCAGAUACCAUGAAAGGCGUUGGUUGCUUAAAACAGCAG